rnacentral:rRNA from 1 species
CAGCCGUAAACAAUGUGCGUUAGGUGUGUCGGUAACCACGCGUUACUGAUGCGCCGAAGAGAAAUCGUGAAACGCACCACCUGGGAAGUACGGUCGCAAGGCUGAAACUUAAAGGAUUGGCGGGGGAGCACCACAACAGGUGGAGCCUGCGGUUUAAUUGGAUUCAACGCCGGACAUCUCACCGGAUAAGACAGCUGAAUGAUAGCCAGGUUGAUGACUUUGCUUGACUAGCUGAGAGGAGGUGCAUGGCGUCAGUGACU